GGGGGUUGUGGGUAUGCGGCUAGAGGGAAGGUUCCAGACACGUCGAGAGUGGGAAACUUAAAUUCCCCUCUCUGGUGUAGGCGCAGGCUUUAGCUCCAGGAUCUUUUCUGGAAGAGACUGGGGCAGCAUGAAUGUGCUGGAAGAUUAGAGGCUGCUGAUGCUGAAGGAAGGAGAAACGAGGAGGAAGUGUCCCUGUGGACAAGUCAUCUCCCUUCAUUUAAGCCAGGCCAGUAGUCCGGGAGACAUUCUGAAUGAUGCAUUAUCCUAGGCACCAGAAAGUAUCUAACAUUCUCAUGGACAGCAGGGAAAAAUGAGCACAUGAGACAGGGGAAGAUUCCAGCACCUGUGAACAUGUUUGUGCAGGUUUCCAGUCAGUACAUGGAUAUCCCUCAAGCCUUUGAAUCCAGUCUCCUGUGUUGUGAUUGGACCGUUUGUCAUUAGGUUUCCAGUGGCAGAGUAAUGCUGUGGGAGAACUGGCUACGAUGGCCGCAGGAGGUGAAUUAAGUAUUGUUGUGUUUUUAGUAGAACCACUAAAGGAAGAUCUGCAGGCAAGUUGGAUGAGUAUAAGAGCCAAAGAUUGACAAGACUUCCUCAGAUGCUCCUACUGACCAGUGGGGGCACUUCUACAGCUCCCCGAAUAUGUUCUCCCUGCAACCCCCACCACUUUUUAAUUAAAUGGCCAGAACUGCCUUUUUGUAUCAAAACUUAUUUUAGUCUAUCAAUCAAAGGCUUCUAUAGCCCACCUCAUGGCAAAGGAUAUCAGAGAGGGAAGGCUGGGAGGUAUGAAUUUGAAGCUGGACACGUUGCUGCUCCCCUUAAAGUUUGGAUUAUUUUACUAAAGAAGAAGAGAACAGGAUCUUGUGUCUUCUACCAGUAUCCAUGAGAUUGUGGCAGGCUAAAAUCACAGACUCUUCAGAGUUUUCAUAAUGAUAAAGUAAAUAUUGCAAAGUACACAUACAAUAAGUGUACAAUUGAUGAAUCCUACAAAGUGAACUCACUCAUGUAACCAGCACCAGAUGAAGAAAAAAACAUCAGCAGCAUCACAGAAGCCCCCCAAAUGUCCCCUUCAGUCAAUAGCCUCCCAAAGAUAACCACACUCCUAUCUAGCAGUGUGGGUUAAUUUUUCCUGUUUUUGAACUUUGCAUAUAUUAAAUCAUACAACAU
ensembl:lncRNA LINC00237 long intergenic non-protein coding RNA 237